GAAAGCCAUUCUGCUGAUCCCUCCGGGUUCAAGUUCACUUGUUCCACACAGAGGUGGCUCAGAUGAGGAGUGGAAAGAGCCCUAGACUUGGAAACAAGAGAAUUUGGUUCAAAUCCUGCAUCCCAGGAACCUCUGCUCCCCAUGCACCGCUCUGCAUGCCCCAGGAACCUAGGAUGUCCUACUCAGUCUGGGGCUAAAAUUUCUGGAUCACUCAAGUGUAAGAUGUUUGGAUUUUGUUAUCUGAUCAAAUCUAACUUUUGGGAGCAGUUUUUUCUAUAAUUAAUUGUUCCAAAGGAUAAAAUUAUUAAA